CGGCUGAACAAAAAAGAGGUUCAAUCAAAGAACUUAAGGAGAAAGAAAAAUUGGCUUGAUAAGUUACUCAAGGGGAAGCACAGAGUAACUAAAGGACCAACAAAACAGGGAGAAAAGCCACAAAGGAAGAAGGAUGACAACAAAAGAAAAAAGAUGGUGUGCAGCCUCAAGUAGAAGUGGAGAAGUAUCACAACAACAAAGAAGUAAAUUUGGUGCUUCAAGAGUGCAAUAAUAUUAUGAGUUUCACCCAACUCUUGACGGCUGACCAUGAUAAUCUGUUCUAGCAUGGAAGCUCCUUAGAUAAUAUUUUGUACAUGGUGGUGACGAUGAUGAUUAUCUGUUCUAGCAUGGAACUUGUUAGAUACAGUAGUAUUUUGGACAUGGUUAACUAUAGUAGUAUGGGGUUAACUAUAUUAUUUUGUAGCCUAAGUGUACAAGCAAGUGGUACUGAAUUUGAAUGUAUUGACCUUUUGAAUUACAAGCAAGUGGCACUGAAUUUCAAUCAA